GAGAGGUGGGUAGAGUUUUUGGAACGUGAAAUUUAAGAUUCUAAUAAAUAUAUAAAUAAAUACUUAAAAAUAAAAAAAAAAACUUAAAAGAUAUUUUCGAACUUAAUUUUUUAUUUUCAAAAAGAAAUUUAAAAAAAUAAAUAAAAAAAAAUUCAAAAAAAAAAUUCAAAAAAAAAAUUUAUAAAAAAGUUCGAAUUUGAAAAAGUAUAAUUCGAAAACAUAAAUAAUUUUU
rnacentral:lncRNA from 1 species